rnacentral:rRNA from 1 species
UACGUAGGGGGCAAGCGUUGUCCGGAUUUAUUGGGCGUAAAGAGCGUGUAGGCGGCUUUACAGGUCCGUUGUGAAAACUCGAGGCUCAACCUCGAGACGCCGGUGGAAACCGUAAGGCUAGAGUCCGGAAGAGGAGAGUGGAAUUCCUGGUGUAGCGGUGAAAUGCGCAGAUAUCGGGAGGAACACCUGUGGCGAAAGCGGCUCACUGGACCACAACUGACGCUGAGGCGCGAAAGCUAGGGGAGCAAACAGG